rnacentral:rRNA from 1 species
UAAUGGGUCAGCGACUUAUAUUCUGUAGCAAGGUUAACCGAAUAGGGGAGCCGAAGGGAAACCGAGUCUUAACUGGGCGUUAAGUUGCAGGGUAUAGACCCGAAACCCGGUGAUCUAGCCAUGGGCAGGUUGAAGGUUGGGUAACACUAACUGGAGGACCGAACCGACUAAUGUUGAAAAAUUAGCGGAUGACUUGUGGCUGGGGGUGAAAGGCCAAUCAAACCGGGAGAUAGCUGGUUCUCCCCGAAAGCUAUUUAGGUAGCGCCUCGUGAAUUCAUCUCCGGGGGUAGAGCACUGUUUCGGCAAGGGGGUCAUCCCGACUUACCAACCCGAUGCAAACUGCGAAUACCGGAGAAUGUUAUCACGGGAGACACACGGCGGGUGCUAACGUCCGUCGUGAAGAGGGAAACAACCCAGACCGCCAGCUAAGGUCCCAAAGUCAUGGUUAAGUGGGAAACGAUGUGGGAAGGCCCAGACAGCCAGGAUGUUGGCUUAGAAGCAGCCAUCAUUUAAAGAAAGCGUAAUAGCUCACUGGUCGAGUCGGCCUGCGCGGAAGAUGUAACGGGGCUAAACCAUGCACCGAAGCUGCGGCAGCGACACUAUGUGUUGUUGGGUAGGGGAGCGUUCUGUAAGCCUGUGAAGGUGGCCUGUGAGGGUUGCUGGAGGUAUCAGAAGUGCGAAUGCUGACAUAAGUAACGAUAAAGCGGGUGAAAAGCCCGCUCGCCGGAAGACCAAGGGUUCCUGUCCAACGUUAAUCGGGGCAGGGUGAGUCGACCCCUAAGGCGAGGCCGAAAGGCGUAGUCGAUGGGAAACAGGUUAAUAUUCCUGUACUUGGUGUUACUGCGAAGGGGGGACGGAGAAGGCUAUGUUGGCCGGGCGACGGUUGUCCCGGUUUAAGCGUGUAGGCUGGUUUUCCAGGCAAAUCCGGAAAACCAAGGCUGAGGCGUGAUGACGAGGCACUACGGUGCUGAAGCGACAAAUGCCCUGCUUCCAGGAAAAGCCUCUAAGCAUCAGGUAACAUCAAAUCGUACCCCAAACCGACACAGGUGGUCAGGUAGAGAAUACCAAGGCGCUUGAGAGAACUCGGGUGAAGGAACUAGGCAAAAUGGUGCCGUAACUUCGGGAGAAGGCACGCUGAUAUGUAGGUGAAGCGACUUGCUCGUGGAGCUGAAAUCAGUCGAAGAUACCAGCUGGCUGCAACUGUUUAUUAAAAACACAGCACUGUGCAAACACGAAAGUGGACGUAUACGGUGUGACGCCUGCCCGGUGCCGGAAGGUUAAUUGAUGGGGUUAGCGGCAACGCGAAGCUCUUGAUCGAAGCCCCGGUAAACGGCGGCCGUAACUAUAACGGUCCUAAGGUAGCGAAAUUCCUUGUCGGGUAAGUUCCGACCUGCACGAAUGGCGUAAUGAUGGCCAGGCUGUCUCCACCCGAGACUCAGUGAAAUUGAACUCGCUGUGAAGAUGCAGUGUACCCGCGGCAAGACGGAAAGACCCCGUGAACCUUUACUAUAGCUUGACACUGAACAUUGAGCCUUGAUGUGUAGGAUAGGUGGGAGGCUUUGAAGUGUGGACGCCAGUCUGCAUGGAGCCGGCCUUGAAAUACCACCCUUUAAUGUUUGAUGUUCUAACGUUGGCCCGUAAUCCGGGUUGCGGACAGUGUCUGGUGGGUAGUUUGACUGGGGCGGUCUCCUCCUAAAGAGUAACGGAGGAGCACGAAGGUUGGCUAAUCCUGGUCGGACAUCAGGAGGUUAGUGCAAUGGCAUAAGCCAGCUUGACUGCGAGCGUGACGGCGCGAGCAGGUGCGAAAGCAGGUCAUAGUGAUCCGGUGGUUCUGAAUGGAAGGGCCAUCGCUCAACGGAUAAAAGGUACUCCGGGGAUAACAGGCUGAUACCGCCCAAGAGUUCAUAUCGACGGCGGUGUUUGGCACCUCGAUGUCGGCUCAUCACAUCCUGGGGCUGAAGUAGGUCCCAAGGGUAUGGCUGUUCGCCAUUUAAAGUGGUACGCGAGCUGGGUUUAGAACGUCGUGAGACAGUUCGGUCCCUAUCUGCCGUGGGCGCUGGAGAACUGAGGGGGGCUGCUCCUAGUACGAGAGGACCGGAGUGGACGCAUCACUGGUGUUCGGGUUGUCAUGCCAAUGGCACUGCCCGGUAGCUAAAUGCGGAAGAGAUAAGUGCUGAAAGCAUCUAAGCACGAAACUUGCCCCGAGAUGAGUUCUCCCUGAGACUUAGAGUCUCCUGAAGGAACGUUGAAGACGACGACGUUGAUAGGCCGGGUGUGUAAGCGCAGCGAUGCGUUGAGCUAACCGGUACUAAUGAACCGUGAGGCUUAACCUUACAACGCCGAAG